rnacentral:rRNA from 1 species
AUUGAACGCUGGCGGCAGGCCUAACACAUGCAAGUCGAGCGGUAGAGAGAAGCUUGCUUCUCUUGAGAGCGGCGGACGGGUGAGUAAUGCCUAGGAAUCUGCCUGGUAGUGGGGGAUAACGUUCGGAAACGGACGCUAAUACCGCAUACGUCCUACGGGAGAAAGCAGGGGACCUUCGGGCCUUGCGCUAUCAGAUGAGCCUAGGUCGGAUUAGCUAGUUGGUGAGGUAAUGGCUCACCAAGGCGACGAUCCGUAACUGGUCUGAGAGGAUGAUCAGUCACACUGGAACUGAGACACGGUCCAGACUCCUACGGGAGGCAGCAGUGGGGAAUAUUGGACAAUGGGCGAAAGCCUGAUCCAGCCAUGCCGCGUGUGUGAAGAAGGUCUUCGGAUUGUAAAGCWCUUUAAGUUGGGAGGAAGGGUUGUAGAUUAAUACUCUGCAA